rnacentral:misc_RNA from 1 species
CCAAACCGUUGACAUGAGUUGUUGCUGGCCUUCAAACGGGGGCAUGUGCACGCUCUGUUUACACAUCCACCCACCCCUGUGCACCUUUUGUAGUUCUAUGGUUUGGAGGCUCUGCCUCCCUUCUGUGGUUCUAUGUCUUUACACACACAUGUCAAAAAAGUCUUGUAGAACGUAUGUCGCGUUUAACGCAAUACAAUA